rnacentral:tRNA from 1 species
GGUGGUAUAGCUCAGUUGGUUAGAGCGUGGGAUUCAUAACCCCAAGGUCGGUGGUUCAAUUCCACCUACCACCACCA